CGAGCGGUAACAUUUCAAAAGCUUGCUUUUGAAGAUGACGAGCGGCGGACGGGUGAGUAAUGCCUGGGAAUUUGCCCAUUUGUGGGGGAUAACAGUUGGAAACGACUGCUAAUACCGCAUACGCCCUACGGGGGAAAGCAGGGGACCUUCGGGCCUUGCGCUGAUGGAUAAGCCCAGGUGGGAUUAGCUAGUAGGUGAGGUAAAGGCUCACCUAGGCGACGAUCCCUAGCUGGUCUGAGAGGAUGAUCAGCCACACUGGGACUGAGACACGGCCCAGACUCCUACGGGAGGCAGCAGUGGGGAAUAUUGCACAAUGGGGGAAACCCUGAUGCAGCCAUGCCGCGUGUGUGAAGAAGGCCUUCGGGUUGUAAAGCACUUUCAGCGAGGAGGAAAGGGUGUAAGUUAAUACCU
rnacentral:rRNA from 1 species